rnacentral:rRNA from 1 species
UACGUAGGGGGCAAGCGUUGUCCGGAAUUAUUGGGCGUAAAGAGCUCGUAGGCGGUCUGUCGCGUCUGCUGUGAAAAUCCAGGGCUCAACCCUGGACCUGCAGUGGGUACUGUCAGACUAGAGUGCGGUAGGGGAGAUCGGAAUUCCUGGUGUAGCGGUGAAAUGCGCAGAUAUCAGGAGGAACACCGGUGGCGAAGGCGGGUCUCUGGGCCGAUACUGACGCUGAGGAGCGAAAGCGUGGGGAGCGAACCGG